AUGAACGCUAGCUACAGGCUUAACACAUGCAAGUCGAGGGGCAGCAUGAACUUAGCUUGCUAAGUUUGAUGGCGACCGGCGCACGGGUGAGUAACACGUAUCCAACCUGCCGAUGACUCGGGGAUAGCCUUUCGAAAGAAAGAUUAAUACCCGAUGGCAUAGUUCUUCCGCAUGGUAGAACUAUUAAAGAAUUUCGGUCAUCGAUGGGGAUGCGUUCCAUUAGGUUGUUGGCGGGGUAACGGCCCACCAAGCCUUCGAUGGAUAGGGGUUCUGAGAGGAAGGUCCCCCACAUUGGAACUGAGACACGGUCCAAACUCCUACGGGAGGCAGCAGUGAGGAAUAUUGGUCAAUGGACGAGAGUCUGAACCAGCCAAGUAGCGUGAAGGAUGACUGCCCUAUGGGUUGUAAACUUCUUUUAUACGGGAAUAAAGUGAGGCACGUGUGCCUUUUUGUAUGUACCGUAUGAAUAAGGAUCGGCUAACUCCGUGCCAGCAGCCGCGGUAAUACGGAGGAUCCGAGCGUUAUCCGGAUUUAUUGGGUUUAAAGGGAGCGUAGGCGGACGCUUAAGUCAGUUGUGAAAGUUUGCGGCUCAACCGUAAAAUUGCAGUUGAUACUGGGUGUCUUGAGUACAGUAGAGGCAGGCGGAAUUCGUGGUGUAGCGGUGAAAUGCUUAGAUAUCACGAAGAACUCCGAUUGCGAAGGCAGCUUGCUGGACUGUAACUGACGCUGAUGCUCGAAAGUGUGGGUAUCAAACAGGAUUAGAUACCCUGGUAGUCCACACAGUAAACGAUGAAUACUCGCUGUUUGCGAUAUACAGUAAGCGGCCAAGCGAAAGCGUUAAGUAUUCCACCUGGGGAGUACGCCGGCAACGGUGAAACUCAAAGGAAUUGACGGGGGCCCGCACAAGCAGUGGAGUAUGUGGUUUAAUUCGAAGCAACGCGAAGAACCUUACCAGGUCUUGACAUCCCUUGACAACUCCAGAGAUGGAGCGUUCCCUUCGGGGACAAGGUGACAGGUGGUGCAUGGUUGUCGUCAGCUCGUGCCGUGAGGUGUCGGCUUAAGUGCCAUAACGAGCGCAACCCUUAUCGAUAGUUACCAUCAGGUUAUGCUGGGGACUCUGUCGAGACUGCCGUCGUAAGAUGUGAGGAAGGUGGGGAUGACGUCAAAUCAGCACGGCCCUUACGUCCGGGGCUACACACGUGUUACAAUGGGGGGUACAGAAGGCAGCUACACGGCGACGUGAUGCUAAUCCCGAAAGCCUCUCUCAGUUCGGAUUGGAGUCUGCAACCCGACUCCAUGAAGCUGGAUUCGCUAGUAAUCGCGCAUCAGCCACGGCGCGGUGAAUACGUUCCCGGGCCUUGUACACACCGCCCGUCAAGCCAUGAAAGCCGGGGGUACCUGAAGUGCGUAACCGCAAGGAGCGCCCUAGGGUAAAACUGGUGAUUGGGGCU
rnacentral:rRNA from 1 species